rnacentral:rRNA from 1 species
GACAGAGGGUGCAAACGUUGCUCGGAAUUACUGGGCGUAAAGCGCGUGUAGGUGGAUUGGUGUGUCAGAUGUGAAAGCCCUGGGCUCAACCCAGGAAUUGCACCUGAAACUACCAGUCUUGAGUGGUGGAGAGGGAAGUGGAAUUCCUGGUGUAGAGGUGAAAUUCGUAGAUAUCGGGAGGAACACCAGUGACGAAGGCGGCUCGCUGGGCCGGUCCUGACGCUGAGACGCGAAGGCGUGGGAGGCGACGAGG